GGUUGAAGCAUGACGGUAACGACAUGUGGACGUGGUCCAAGUGAUUAUGCCGGGAUGAGUAGCGAUAAAGAAGGUGAGAAUCCUUCUCGCCGUAAGCCUAAGGUUUCCUGGGCAAGGCCAUUCCGCCCAGGGUUAGUCGGUCCCUAAGGCGAGGUUGAAAGACGUAGUCGAUGGGAAGCAGGUCAACAUUCCUGCACCACUGUUAGCGUUG
rnacentral:rRNA from 1 species